CCGUUAUGUACUUAAAUGUAACAGGAGCUAACAAGUGGCUAACCAUGUCCCAUUAGUGACUCCGUAGAAAGUGUUACUCGUUUUCCAUGCCUCUCCGAAUACGAAUUCACUAUUCGAGAUGGGCGUGGCAACCUUUCAGCCCGGAAGUGCUCAAUUUCAAGUUAGUCGGAGUAAAAACAUGCGUCUUUUUUGAAAUCACUGAUGCGUGUGACAGCAACAGCAGCUUCUUGUUCAACUGGUUAAGGAAGAUGAUAAUGUCAUGGAAAACUGAAAGAGGAUAUUUGGCAGAAAAAGUCAGAUGUCAUGUGACCCUGGACGAGAAAACCAACAUGCAGAGGCAGCACAUAAACUGGCAGUCAGUGCGGCAAUGAACUUCCAGUAGCUUAUGAUGUUGGGAGCACAUUUUCCUUUAGAGUUGUCCAGACGUCCACCAUGCAGACAUCAAACUCCACAUUCUCAGCUUGGUCCAUCUGAAUUCCUGUGCUUUCCAGUUGCACUGCAACACUAGCGACAGAUUUGUCCAAAUCGCAACAGAAGCAUCGGAUUAUUCCAGAUGUACAACAGGAGCCUUGGAU